AGUUUCGUCACUGACAUUUCCUUUUCCGGAGAGAGGAGCGCAGCAAAUCUGAAGACCCGAGAGUUGACGGUUAGAGUCGACCUGAUAAGAGUUCUAAGAUUGACAACGAGAUGAACUGGAUUCAGCGGAAAAUCUAUCUAUACAAUGUUACUUUUGGUCUCUACAUGCUCGAUUGGUGGGAGCGAUGUCUCUUCAAUAUUCUGGUGGUUGUGCUGUUGUGGUUUGUUUGUACAAGGUGUUUCGAUCUGCUUCAGAGUUCUCUGGAAGGAUAUAUGGCGAUGAGAUCAUAAAACUAUGCUUCUUGAAAAAGGAUCACGUCAUUAUGCAAAGAUGCCAUAAUGCAUAUAUCGUGAAAGCUCAUCAUGAACCCAAGAACAGAAGCUCCAGUCUUCAUUGUAACUAGAAAACAUAUAUGCCUGACUUGUAAGCUGAUGGUUUUUUUCUUCUUCUUCCUCUUUUAUCUUUCUUCUACAAGCUAGAACAGUAUUUGGAAACCUUUUUGAGUGAUUAUUUGUUCUGAUCAUACAGCUUCAUAACAGUUCAUAAUGCUGGCAAACCAGAUUAGAAUAUUUCUUCUAAUGUUGGAUUUGUUUGCUAUGGGCAAAUAGAAAUUUGGAAGACAUGGUUGUAA